CUAAACUAGGAUUAGAUACCCUAUUAUUAUAAGUGUAAAUUAGUUAAUUAAGUUAUUAAUAGUUAUAGACUUAAAAGUUAAAAAAUUUGGCGGUAUUUUAGUCUUUUCAGAGGAACCUGUCCUAUAAUUGAUAGCCCACGAUUUAUAGUACUUAUUUUAAUAAUUUAUAUACCAUUGUAAAUGAGUAUUUUGAGAAAAAAUAAAUAUUCAAGUUUUAUAAUUUUAAGUAAAAUCAAAUCAAGGCGUAGUUUAUAAAUAAGAAGAGAUGGGUUACAAUAAAAAUAUUUAUAUGGAUUUAUAUAUUGAGAUAUAUUUUUGAAGGUGGAUUUGAAAGUAAUUUUAUUUAUUUAUUUAAAAUGGCUUUGGCUCUAAAAUAUGCACAUAUUGCCCGUCGCUUUCAUAUAAAUUGGAAUAAGUCGUAACAAAGUAGAGGUACUGGAAAGUGUUUCUAGAGACAAUUUAUAGCUUAAUAAAAGUAUUUUAGUUACAUUAAAAGGAUAAUUUUAGAAUUUGAAUUGAUUAUUUGUUAAUAUUAGUUAUAUUAUUUUAAUUUAUAAAAUAUUAAAAAUUUUUAGUAGGGUUAUUUGAAUCAAUUAAUUAUAUGAUAGACAAUAAGUAUAGUGAUAGAAUAUAAAAAAUUAUUUAAAAGAAUAAUUAAUUUUUAGUACCUUGGGUAUCAGGGUUUAUUAAUUAAGAUUUAAUAUGUAAAUUUUCUCGAAAAUAAAAGAGUUAUUAAAGUAUAAAUUUUAUUGUAUAAUAAUUAUUUAAAAUAUUUUAAUAGUAAUGAAAUGUUAUUCGGUUUUUUUGAUAUCUAGUUUUAAAAGAAAUUAAUUUAAUUGAGUUUUAGUUUAUAAGAUUCAUAAUUUUUUAUAAAUCUUAAAAAUUAAAGGUUAUAGUAUUAGGGAUAAGCUUAGUAUUAAAAUAAUAAAAAUUAAUUAAAUUAUAUAGUUUAAUAAAGUUAGAAAUUUUUAUUUUUUAUAGUUUGUUAUAAUAAAUCUAUUUAUAGGUAAUAUUUAUUUUAAUUUUAAUUUAUUUAUUUUAAAGUUUUACUUAAUAGUUAAGUAAAAAUUAUAAUGAUAAAAUUAGUAUAAUAUAAUUUAAAUUUAAUUUAAAUUUUUAAGGUUAGAUUAAGGAAUUCGGCAAAUAUAUUUUUCACCUGUUUAUUAAAAACAUGGCUUUUUGAAAAUAAUUUAAAGUUUGACCUGCCCAAUGAUAAAUUUAAUGGCUGCAGUAUUUUAACUGUACAAAGGUAGCAUAAUCAUUAGUUUUUUAAUUGAAAGCUUGUAUGAAUGGUUUGAUGAGAAAAUAGCUGUCUUAGUUUAAAUUUUUUUAAAAUUUUAUUUUUAAGUUAAAAAGCUUAAAUGAUUUUAAAAGACGAGAAGACCCUAUAGAGUUUGAUUAAUUUUUAUUUAUUAAGUUAUUAUAAGUAUACUAAUUAUAUAAGUAGAUAUUAAUUUUAUUGGGGUGAUGAGAAAAUUUAAAGAACUUUUUUUUUCUUUAUCAUUAAUUUAUGUUUAUUUGAUCCAUUAAUUGUGAUUAUAAGAUUAAAUUACCUUAGGGAUAACAGCGUAAUUUUUUUGGAGAGUUCUUAUCGAUAAAAAAGAUUGCGACCUCGAUGUUGGAUUAAAAUAAAAUAUUGGUGCAA
rnacentral:rRNA from 1 species